UUUAACUGAAGAGUUUGAUCAUGGCUCAGAUUGAACGCUGGCGGCAGGCUUAACACAUGCAAGUCGAGCGGGGGAAGGUAGCUUGCUACUGGACCUAGCGGCGGACGGGUGAGUAAUGCUUAGGAAUCUGCCUAUUAGUGGGGGACAACAUCUCGAAAGGGAUGCUAAUACCGCAUACGUCCUACGGGAGAAAGCAGGGGAUCUUCGGACCUUGCGCUAAUAGAUGAGCCUAAGUCGGAUUAGCUAGUUGGUGGGGUAAAGGCCUACCAAGGCGACGAUCUGUAGCGGGUCUGAGAGGAUGAUCCGCCACACUGGGACUGAGACACGGCCCAGACUCCUACGGGAGGCAGCAGUGGGGAAUAUUGGACAAUGGGGGGAACCCUGAUCCAGCCAUGCCGCGUGUGUGAAGAAGGCCUUAUGGUUGUAAAGCACUUUAAGCGAGGAGGAGGCUACUUUAGUUAAUACCUAGAGAUAGUGGACGUUACUCGCAGAAUAAGCACCGGCUAACUCUGUGCCAGCAGCCGCGGUAAUACAGAGGGUGCGAGCGUUAAUCGGAUUUACUGGGCGUAAAGCGUGCGUAGGCGGCUUAUUAAGUCGGAUGUGAAAUCCCCGAGCUUAACUUGGGAAUUGCAUUCGAUACUGGUGAGCUAGAGUAUGGGAGAGGAUGGUAGAAUUCCAGGUGUAGCGGUGAAAUGCGUAGAGAUCUGGAGGAAUACCGAUGGCGAAGGC
rnacentral:rRNA from 1 species